GGAACCUCUAUAUGCCGCGGGUGUGACCCUAAAAAGAUUAAAAAAAAAAGACUCACGCAUUGCGUUUAGAUGUCAUGGUCGUGUCUCUUUUGGCUCCUACAAAACGAUCCUCCACCCCCACUUCUGCCCUUACCUUUUGAGUUUUGUAUCUUGGAAGAACUAACUGCUCGGUGGCUGGAGUUCUUGCUUCAUUUCCCCCUCUCAUUCCGUUCUCUUUCUUUUCUUCUAGUGUUUGCAAAAAGGAGUCUCCAGUUUCUGCCAUGAUCCUCUGUUGAGCCCACUGUGAUCAGGCUUUCGCUGCCAUAGUCCGUCUCCAUAUCACAGUCAUCAAUCCCCUCUCUGCUCCCCUGCGACCGCCACCUUCCCAGUGACCUCCAUGCUUCCAAAGCCAAAGAUCAAUUUUUUUAAUAUAAGCUCCGACCCCGUUCGUUGUCUGGUCUGGCCCGAGGGAGGCCCUAAGGAAGCAAUUUCCUGAAAGGAAGAAUGAACGCACAGGAGAUGUGUGUGCAUACACGCAAAACCGGCCACAGAGGUGCUCUCACCAGAGGCCAUCCGAAGCGGAAUGCUCUUGUCCUCGCCAACAUCAACCAACCCUUAACUGAAAGGUGCAUCUCUUCGUGGCUGAGGCUGGAGGCAGGAGGGCCAGGAGGUGCUCACACUGCCAGCUGUGUGACCAUGGCUCGUGUCCCUUGGCCUCUGGGACCUACAUGCCUCCCUCAUCUCUGGGUUAAGAUCUGGCUGUUGGAGCUGCACCCCGACCCCCUCCGCUUACCGCACACAGACAACGCCCCCAGGCCUGCACCCGGAGCUCAGGACAGGAAGGGCAUGAGGCGCCUCUGCCCCUCGGUGUUUCACCCGCUUACCCGGCACCUCUUCCAUCUCCCAGCCCAACUCUCCUCCCAACCCGCUCCCAGCCCCUGACGCUGUGCCUGGUCUGCCUGUAUUUCCGUCAGAGCUCCCUUGGAGGCAAGGAACAGAGACCCACUCAAGCUGGUUCAACAACGAAGCGUGUGAGGGAGCGGGAGGGUGGGUACAAUCUCUCUAAGGAGACCCCGAUGGCACGGCGCCCCCGGGAGAGCCCGUGUUCUCUCUCUCCGAGUCUCUGCUCCUCUCUGCGUAUCUUCUCCAUUCUCCUCUUUCUCUUGACCGCUUUCCUCCUAACUUUUGCUCAUAGAGGAUCCCUCACAUGUGGCCCAGCUCCAAGGUCGGCUUAAGCCUUUUGGUCCCACCUUAAAUGGUGGCUCAGACUCUCUGCUCCCCCAUAGCACACUCCUAAGAGGGGGAGCUGAUUGCUCAAGCGUACCCCCAGCCAGGCCACAGGAGUCCUGCAUAGGGCACCAACCUGCCAAUGAAGGGCCCAUCACUGGUGAAAUGCCCACCAAUCCUGCUGCAAUUGCACAAGACUGGGAAGGGCAGGGUCUCCUGGACAUUUAGGGUUGCAGGAGCGAUGGGCAGGGCUAACUCCCCGUGGGUGGGCAGGCACAUGGUUAGCACCUCUAGUCCGGCAGGUCUGGAAACUCUGCUCUGAAGAAAACCUGGACCAAAGAAUCCCGUCUACUUAUAAGUACUUGCAAAUCCUACAGAUAUUCGUGUGCCCUGAACGAUAUUCAGAGACUCUUAGGAUCGUCAGGUCUUGGCGUUCCUGUUGUGGCGCAGUGGUUAGUGAACCCGACUAGGAACCAUGA